ensembl:rRNA 5S_rRNA 5S ribosomal RNA
AUCUACAGCCAUACCACCCUGAACGUGCUCGAUCUCGUCUGAUCUCGGAAGCUAAGCAGGGUCGGGCCUGGUUAGUACUUGGAUGGGAGACCGCCUGGGAAUAGCGGGUGCUGUAGGCU